GAUGAACGCUGGCGGCGUGCUUAACACAUGCAAGUCGAACGGUGAACACGGAGCUUGCUCUGUGGGAUCAGUGGCGAACGGGUGAGUAACACGUGAGCAACCUGCCCCUGACUCUGGGAUAAGCGCUGGAAACGGCGUCUAAUACUGGAUAUGUGACGUGACCGCAUGGUCUGCGUUUGGAAAGAUUUUUCGGUUGGGGAUGGGCUCGCGGCCUAUCAGCUUGUUGGUGAGGUAAUGGCUCACCAAGGCGUCGACGGGUAGCCGGCCUGAGAGGGUGACCGGCCACACUGGGACUGAGGCACGGCCCAGACUCCUACGGGAGGCAGCAGUGGGGAAUAUUGCACAAUGGGCGCAAGCCUGAUGCAGCAGCGCCGCGUGAGGGAUGACGGCCUUCGAGUUGUAAACCUCUUUUAGCAGAGAAGAAGCGAAAGUGACGGUACCUGCAGAAAAAGCGCCGGCUAACUACGUG
rnacentral:rRNA from 1 species